rnacentral:rRNA from 1 species
AAUAGAUACCCGGGUAGUCCACGCCGUAAACGAUGAGUGCUAAGUGUUAGAGGGUUUCCGCCCUUUAGUGCUGAAGUUAACGCAUUAAGCACUCCGCCUGGGGAGUACGGCCGCAAGGCUGAAACUCAAAGGAAUUGACGGGGGGCCCGCACAAGCGGUGGAGCAUGUGGUUUAAUUCGAAGCAACGCGAAGAACCUUACCAGGUCUUGACAUCCUCUGAUAACCCUAGAGAUAGGGCUUCUCCUUCGGGAGCAGAGUGACAGGUGGUGCAUGGUUGUCGUCAGCUCGUGUCGUGAGAUGUUGGGUUAAGUCCCGCAACGAGCGCAACCCUUGAUCUUAGUUGCCAUCAUUAAGUUGGGCACUCUAAGGUGACUGCCGGUGACAAACCGGAGGAAGGUGGGGAUGACGUCAAAUCAUCAUGCCCCUUAUGACCUGGGCUACACACGUGCUACAAUGGACGGUACAAAGAGCUGCAAGACCGCGAGGUGGAGCUAAUCUCAUAAAACCGUUCUCAGUUCGGAUUGUAGG